rnacentral:rRNA from 1 species
AAAUUGAAGAGUUUGAUCAUGGCUCAGAUUGAACGCUGGCGGCAGGCCUAACACAUGCAAGUCGAACGGUAACAGGAAGCAGCUUGCUGCUUCGCUGACGAGUGGCGGACGGGUGAGUAAUGUCUGGGAAACUGCCUGAUGGAGGGGGAUAACUACUGGAAACGGUGGCUAAUACCGCAUAACGUCGCAAGACCAAAGAGGGGGACCUUCGGGCCUCUUGCCAUCAGAUGUGCCCAGAUGGGAUUAGCUAGUUGGUGAGGUAACGGCUCACCAAGGCGACGACUCCCUAGCUGGUCUGAGAGGAUGACCAGCCACACU